AACCUGACCUCUGAAGCUACAUAGCAGUGAUCAAAUCUACCGUCUCCUAUGGCUCUAUGGUCAGUUCU
ensembl:miRNA mdo-mir-7331-1 mdo-mir-7331-1